rnacentral:rRNA from 1 species
UACGGGGGGAGCAAGCGUUGUUCGGAUUUAUUGGGAGUAAAGGGUGCGUAGGCGGUUGUGAGAAGUGAUUUGUGAAAUCUCCGGGCUUAACUCGGAACGGUCAAGUGAUACUGUCGGACUAGAGUACAGAAGGGGCAACUGGAAUUCUCGGUGUAGCGGUGAAAUGCGUAGAUAUCGAGAGGAACACCUGCGGCGAAGGCGGGUUGCUGGGCUGAUACUGACGCUGAGGCACGAAAGCCAAGGGAGCAAACAGG